GAUGAUGGUGAUGUACAACCUCACCAGAGUACCAAUUGGAGGGCAAGUCUGGUGUCAGCAGCCGCGGUAAUUCCAGCUCCAAUAGCGUAUAUUAAACUUGUUGCAGUUAAAAAGCUCGUAGUUGUAUUUCAGCCUCGCGUUUUUUCCCUCUUUUCGGGUCUAGUCGCUGGCUUUUUUUUUACUUUGAGAAAAUUAGAGUGUUUCAAGCAGACUUUUGUCUUGAAUACUUCAGCAUGGAAUAAUAGAGUAGGACCUUGGUUCUAUUUUGUUGGUUUCGAGCCUUGGUAAGGGUUAAUAGGAACGGUUGGGGGCAUUCGUAUUUAACUGUCAAAGGUGAAAUUCUUAGAUUUGUUAAAGACGAACCACUGCGAAAGCAUUUGCCAAGGAC
rnacentral:rRNA from 1 species